UACGUAGGUGGCAAGCGUUGUCCGGAUUUAUUGGGUUUAAAGGGUGCGUAGGUGGUCUAUUAAGUCAGUGCUGAAAUAUCCCGGCUUAACCGGGAGGGUGGCAUUGAUACUGAUGGACUUGAGCGGAGUUGAGGUAGGCGGAAUUGACGGUGUAGCGGUGAAAUGCGUAGAGAUCGUAAGGAAGACCAGUGGCGAAGGCGGGUCUCUGGACAGUUCCUGACACUGAGGCACGAAGGCCAGGGGAGCAAACGGG
rnacentral:rRNA from 1 species